GUGGUUGUGACUAAAAUUUUAAGGAAGUUGAGUGUCAAACAGCCCACACCACCAAACUCUUUUUUCUUCUUCUUUCAAAUUGGACUUUCAUUCAUAAGAAAAUACCUAACAAGGCCCAAAACAAAAUCAAACCCUAGCAAGUAAAGUAGGAAAAUGCAACAACUGCCAUGACCAUCUCUGCAAUAGGAGAAGCAAGAGGUCGGGGCAACUAUAGCCAGGAGAGGGCCAAAACAACAACCUCCCAAACUAACGCCACAAACAAAAGUCCCAUAUCAACCAUGAACCCUAAAAUUGCCAAAACAAAAACACUAGAAAACCCCCAAAUAACUCACUCCACAACGACACACUUU
rnacentral:lncRNA from 1 species